AGAACGAACGCUGGCGGCAUGCCUAAUACAUGCAAGUCGAACGAAGGCUUCGGCCUUAGUGGCGCACGGGUGCGUAACGCGUGGGAAUCUGCCCCUUGGUUCGGAAUAACAGUUGGAAACGACUGCUAAUACCGGAUGAUGACGAAAGUCCAAAGACUUAUCGCCAAGGGAUGAGCCCGCGUAGGAUUAGCUAGUUGGUGAGGUAAAGGCUCACCAAGGCGACGAUCCUUAGCUGGUCUGAGAGGAUGAUCUGCCACACUGGGACUGAGACACGGCCCAGACUCCUACGGGAGGCAGCAGUGGGGAAUUUGGACAAUGGGGGAAACCCUGAUCCAGCCAUCCCGCGUGUGCGAUGAAGGCCUCGGUUGUAAGACACUUUGGU
rnacentral:rRNA from 1 species